AACGAACGCUGGCGGCAGGCCUAACACAUGCAAGUCGAGCGGACCCUCCGGGGUUAUCGGCGGACGGGGGAGUAACGCGGGGGAAUAUGCCCUUCUCUACGGAAUAGUUCUGGGAAACGGGGGGUAAUACAGCAUACGCUCUUUGGGGGAAAGAUUUAUUGGGGAAGGCUUGGCCCGCGUUGGAUUAGGUAGUUGGUAGGGUAAUCGCAUACCAAGGCGACGAUUCAUAGCUGGUUUGAGACGAUGAUCCGCCACACUGGGACUGAGACACGGCCCAGACUCCUACGGAAGGCAGCAGUGGGGAACCUUAGACACGGGGGGCAGCCCUGAUCUAGCCAUGCCGGGUAAGUGAUGAAUGCCUUAGGGUUGUAAAGCUCUUUCAGCUGGGAAGAUAAUGACGGUACCAGCAGAAGAAGCCCCGGCUAACUCCGUG
rnacentral:rRNA from 1 species